rnacentral:lncRNA from 1 species
UCAGUUUGCAGGUUUCAGGAUAAUGCAACCUCUUAUCUGCAUCUGGUUUCAGGAUACUGCAAUCUCUUAUCUGCAUCUAGUAGAAAGAACUGCAUGUUACUCAGUGAUUGUGAACACUUGGCUGCAAAUAGAUGAAUGGUGUCCUUAUAAGAAGAGGAAGAAGAGCCAUGGAUGUACUCAUAGGGGAAUACCUGUGUGAAGACAAUGAGAAAGUGACCAUCUGAAAGCCAAAAAGAGAGGCCCCAGGAGAAACUAAACCUGCAGACACCUUGACCUUGGACUUCCUGUUUCCAAAACUAAAGAAGAUGGAAGAAGAAGGAAAGAAAAGGCAUAAUGUAAAUAUAAAUGCUGUCUUUAUUUCUGGAUCUGGCAAAGAGUUAGUUUGAAAGAGCAAUUGCUUAUAAGACUACAAGGCUGAUUUCUCCCAUCCCUGCAAUGCUGAAAGUCUGUGCCCUUCUAAGCAAAUUCUAGUUUCCCUGACAAUUAGUCUAAUGGAAUGCCUGGAUGUAGGCAUAUUGAUUCCGAUGACAGUACUUAUACAGAUGGACCUGAGAUAUUUCCGCUGGUUCUUCACUGACAACACACAACAUAUGGAUGAUCAUAACUUUCCCAUAUACCCAACUAGGGCAAAACCAGAAACUGAGAAAGCUAGAUGGAAGAAUAAUGAUGUGGAAGGGGAGUUCUCCACUAGGAAGGAUCCGAUGAGUAGAUAGACACAAGGACAAAGAGGGCCUAACUUUGGGCUGUGGAAGCGGAGUUGCACUCAUAGCAGCCAUAGUGAGUCAUUGCAGCAGAACCACUAAGCAUCAGUCAUGAAGAGCAAACAGGCUUGCUGUUACAGGAGCUAAACCCUGAACCCUUCCAUCGUGGUUACAGAGAGCUUCUAGGGGACAGCAUGAGACAGCUUAGCACUUCCCCAAUAUUAUGAGGAAACCCAAAGGCCCAGAUGCCACUUGGGAAAGGAGAACCAAGAAGGAAGGACUUCAGAAAAGGAAGAAACCAUGAAACAUUAAGUAAUUUACAAACUAGACUCUUCUUUAUUCUCUUAUUUUAUUUAUUUCUUUAUUUUUGAGACAGAGUCUCACUCUUUGCCCUUGAUGAAAUGGACUGGCCCAAUCAUGGCUCACUGCAGCCUCAAAAUCCUGGCCUCAAGAAAUCCUCCAGACUCAGCCUCCUAAAGUGCUGGGAUUACAGGCAUGAGCCACAGCACCUGACCUAGACUGUUUUAAACUAGAUUUCCCUGAGAAAACUUUCACUGGAAAAAUCAAAAUUAUCCUGCUGUCAUUAAGAGAAAACUAUCUGUUGUAAAAAAUUACACUCUUUUUUUUUCAGACAUGUCAUAUAAAUAUUUGGACCCCUCUCUGAGAACAAACUACUUAUAAGUCAUUUCAAUCAUUAACGAAUAUCAUAAUUGAGGGCCUGUGCUGGGUGCCAGAAAUCUACCAGUGAGCAAAACAGCACGGAUCUUUGUACACAGUAAAUUUACAGAUCAGAGGAAACAGAAAAACAAUCAGUUAAAUAAAACAGGUCUGAAAAUUGCGUAUGAGAACCCAAAGCAGAGGUACCUAACCAGGUCAAAAAAAAAAAAAAUGGAGUAAAUUGUGCCUAAUAACUUGGUAUUUUUCUGCAUCCAUUCGAUGUUCUAGCUACAUUUCUUCACAUGUCCCUUUACUAAGGUCGACACUUUCAUGCAGUUGCAUAUGUUGUUCCCAGUAUUACUUUCCUGUUGCUGCCCUAACAAAUUGUCACACUUUUGCAGCUUAAAACAAC